UACGUAGGGGGCAAGCGUUGUCCGGAUUUAUUGGGCGUAAAGAGCGUGUAGGCGGCCAUUCAGGUCAGCUGUGAAAACUCGAGGCUCAACCUCGAGACGUCGGUUGAAACCGUUUGGCUAGAGUCCGGAAGAGGAGAGUGGAAUUCCCGGUGUAGCGGUGAAAUGCGCAGAUAUCGGGAAGAACACCCGUGGCGAAGGCGGCUCUCUGGGACGGUACUGACGCUGAGACGGCGAAAGCGUGGGGAACGAACAGG
rnacentral:rRNA from 1 species